rnacentral:lncRNA from 1 species
UGCACAAUAUCCAGAGUGCCAUUAGAUAUGGCGCGUAGAAUGAAGGUAGGGAAUUAAGAGGAGUAACCCAGAAGGACUCUUCCUUCUGGGUGCUAAUAACUAAGAGGCAUUGGAAUAUAUGGCAUGAAUUAAUGGCAUGGAGGAGUUGGUUUCACAUGAAACUCUUUCAUGUGAAGAAGUUUAGGCACCUAAGAGACCUUGGAUGUGAGCCCUUUUAGAUUAGGUCAAGACAUCAUAUUCUAGAUUGGCUCAAAUAACUUUGGACUAAGCUUAAUUGAAAACUUGAGUUAAUUCAUGUGCUAGCAUAUCAAUUAAACUCGUAG